GCCCAGCUGAGCCUCAGUGGUCUGGGGGAUAGACUUCAAAUCUAUCGAGCUAGAAAUAGCUAGAGGUUCAAUUCCUCCUGGUGGGCG